UACGUAGGGGGCUAGCGUUGUCCGGAAUCAUUGGGCGUAAAGCGCGUGUAGGCGGUUCGGUAAGUCCGCUGUGAAAGUCGGGGGCUCAACCCUCGAAUGCCGGUGGAGUACUGUCGAGCUAGAGUGUGGAAGGGGCGAUUGGAAUUCCGUGUGUAGCGGUGAAAUGCGUAGAUAUACGGAGGAACACCAGGGGCGAAGGCGGAUCGCUGGGCCAACACUGACGCUGGAUGCGCGAAAGCUAGGGGAGCAAACGGG
rnacentral:rRNA from 1 species